CCUACGGGAGGCAGCAGUGAGGAAUAUUGGUCAAUGGCCGGAAGGCUGAACCAGCCAAGCCGCGUGAGGGACGAAUGUGCCAAGCAUUGUAAACUUCUUUUGUCAGGGGACAAAGUCAGCCACGUGAGGGUGUUGGAGGGUACCUGAAGAAAAAGCAUCGGCUAACUCCGUGCCAGCAGCCGCGGUAAUACGGAGGAUGCGAGCGUUAUCCGGAUUUAUUGGGUUUAAAGGGUGCGUAGGCGGAUUGUCAAGUCAGCGGUAAAAUCGUGGGGCUCAACUCCGGCGAGCCGUUGAAACUGGUGAUCUUGAGUGGGCGAGAAGUAUGCGGAAUGCGUGGUGUAGCGGUGAAAUGCAUAGAUAUCACGCAGAACUCCGAUUGCGAAGGCAGCAUACCGGCGGCGGUCUGACGCUGAAGCACGAAAGCGUGGGUAUCGAACAGGAUUAGAUACCCUGGUAGUC
rnacentral:rRNA from 1 species